rnacentral:rRNA from 1 species
AGUGAGCGCUGGCGGUAGGCCUAACACAUGCAAGUCGAACGGCAGCACAGUAAGAGCUUGCUCUUACGGGUGGCGAGUGGCGGACGGGUGAGGAAUACAUCGGAAUCUACUUUUUCGUGGGGGAUAACGUAGGGAAACUUACGCUAAUACCGCAUACGACCUACGGGUGAAAGCAGGGGAUCUUCGGACCUUGCGCGAUUGAAUGAGCCGAUGUCGGAUUAGCUAGUUGGCGGGGUAAAGGCCCACCAAGGCGACGAUCCGUAGCUGGUCUGAGAGGAUGAUCAGCCACACUGGAACUGAGACACGGUCCAGACUCCUACGGGGGCAGCAGUGGGGAAUAUUGGACAAUGGGCGCAAGCCUGAUCCAGCCAUACCGCGUGGGUGAAGAAGGCCUUCGGGUUGUAAAGCCCUUUUGUUGGGAAAGAAAAGCAGCAGGUUAAUACCCCGCUGUUCUGACGGUACCCAAAGAAUAAGCACCGGCUAACUUCGUG